CUCUUCUUGAACAUGCCGUGUGAGAAGAAUUACUUGAUCUCCUGGAUUUUAAGACUGCUUCUUUUUGAUGUUAAAUUUAUUUAUGGUUUGAAUGUAUGUCGGGGAGAUCUAAUCUCCAAUGUCAGUUUAUCCACUGAGCUUCAAUCUGAAGUCCUGCUUCCCUGUUCCUUUGAAUCAGACCUCUUGAAAUCAAACCGGACGAAUGAAUCUUGUGUGGUGUGGACUCACCUCAAUACAGAUUUUGUAGAGAUCAGUCUGGAUGGUGAGGCAAAAUUCUGGAAUAACCAACGUGGACGAAUUGAGACAUUCCCAAAAUUACCAGAAUCUGAAUUGUUGGACUUCUCCAUCCGUAUCCGUAAUGUGCAGCAGUCUGAUUUAGGUGUCUACCACUGCAAACUGUUCAGAGAAACCAACUGUUUCCUCGCCUAUAAGAUAACUGAACUACACAAAGGUUCAGAUUCAGCUGUUGUUUCAGUGGAUUCGCUGACUUGGCUGAUCCCAGCUGGAUCAGCAGGAGGAGCAGUAGUGCUACUUGUGCUUCUCAUCAUUGCAUGUACAUUUUUCAAAUGU